UCGAACUCAGCGAGACUCCUGUUCGGAGA
rnacentral:sRNA from 1 species